ACUCCCGUGGUCUAGUGGUUAAGAUUUCGCUCUUAUAUCUUUCAUCCUUCCUUGAUUGGAAAGGUCAAAUAUUAUGCGACGGUCGCGGGUUCAACCCCCGCCGGGAGUA